rnacentral:lncRNA from 1 species
CUCCUGUAUCAUCUGGGCUGAGAGUCAGGCAUCCUUCCCCAACCUUAUGUCCUCUAGAUGCCUUGGACUGUGACUCCUGUCAUCCCUCACAAUUGGCCAUACUGUCUGGGGCUGAUGGGCAGUGCCGGAUUAAACCCUGUGGAGCAAGAGUCCUGUCUAAGAUCCCACUGAUGGUUGUAGUAACAUGAUGCUCACCUGAAAUAUAAGGUGAGCAAUGCACUUAGUGCCACCACACACCCCAAGUUUUUCUCCAACCCAGAUUUUUAAUCUGGGAGGGAGAAGACUCUGCUCCACCUACUCACCACCUUGCCUGGAACUAACCUGUGGCUCUCCAGAUGUAGUCAGACUCCAGCCAGCUUAGUCAGGGGUGAUGGAGUAGUAGUGACGGAGUGAUGGAGUAUUAAUCAAAAACAUCCAGAGGGAACAAGGUUGGGGAAAGCUGUUUUGGGAAACAGUCCCAAAAACAAUAGGAGAGGAAUGUUGAUCAGGUUCAUGUGGGCAAGAUGAAAACACCCAAGUUGAAGACCAAGGGAGAAAUGCAUCUAUUGGAUAUUUUUGAAAGUGAUUUGUCUGUCUACCUGCUGUCUAUAGGUUUGGCUGCCUGUUGACACAUCAUCACCAAAUUCAAAGCAAGGGUUCCCAAAGUUGGGGUGGGGCUUUAAAAAUUAAUGUUGGGCCACCAAGUGCCAUUUGAAUCAAGAUGACAGACUAAAUAUGAAUUUGGUACAAGUUUGCCCAUUUUUUGGAUCGGUUUGGCCACCUCUCAAGAUAUUGUUGCCAAACUCAGCGCAUGGAUUUCCGAGAUGGGGGGAAGCAGUUUUUAUCAGUAUGCAGAUGCUGGAUGCCUUUUUGAUUCAAGAUAGUGGACCAAAAUGUGACUUUAGCAUGAAUUCCCCUGAUUUUGGACAUGAUGAGUCCAAACUCAUUAUCCAGUUAAAAAUCACAAAUUGGGAGGUUUCUAAAAAUUCACACACAAACAACCACAACCACAGUUUGACCAAAGUCCUUGGAGGAUUUUUUUUUUAUCAAGCACAGCUCCAGACUGAAAUAAUUAUUAUUCUAAUUACACAGAAAAGAGCUCAGAGGAUAAUGCCAUGGGUCUGUGCUUUCCUCAGUCUGAUGCUCCCUCUGCCUGCCACAUCCAGCCUCAUGAUCUAAGAUGAUGGAUGGGGUCCCCACAGCAGCAAUGGGAUGAAGCCCAGAAACAAAACCCCUUUGCCGAUGUUCUUAAUUAGAUUUGGUGUCCUUACGGCCACCCCGAUUCCACUGACAUGUCUCCCCAGCUGAAUUAGAAUCCACAGCAGAUAAAACAAGCAAGCCAAGAUCAAUUUUAAUUUGUUCAAAGCGCAGUGCAUUUUGUCUCACCUGACACAGGUUCUUCGGGAAGCCAUCCUUUAAUGUCAUGAGGAACCUGAGGGCCAAUUUGCAGGAUCAAUACCUGAGAGACCAUUAACGUGUCAGGUUACCACAUCAUAGAGGUCUGUGUGACAUCACUGGCUGCUCUGGUAAUAGAAGGGUCGACCGAUCCUUAUACCCACAAGAGUUUAAUCGUAUGGUAAACAUUCCCCCCUAUGCUCAGAACAUUCGUGGUUGGCAACCCAUUUUAACAGGGAUUAUAUUUGCAAGGUUUGGCACCAUCAGCCACACAUCCUGGAGAAGAUAAAGAAAAUGAAAUAGAAGAUUCCAGGCCAAAGGUGUCUGUAAUAAAACAAAAAGUUUUCAAA